rnacentral:tRNA from 1 species
GGGCCCGUAGCUCAGCUGGGAGAGCGCCACACUGGCAGUGUGGAGGUCGUCGGUUCGAUCCCGAUCGGGUCCACCA